rnacentral:rRNA from 1 species
CCUACGGGAGGCAGCAGUGAGGAAUAUUGGUCAAUGGGCGAGAGCCUGAACCAGCCAAGUAGCGUGAAGGAUGAAGGCCCUACGGGUCGUAAACCUCUUUUAUACGGGAAUAAAACGCUCCACUUGUGGGAUUCUGUAUGUACCAUACGAAUAAGGGCCGGCUAAUUCCGUGCCAGCAGCCGCGGUAAUACGGAGGACCCGAGCGUUAUCCGGAUUUAUUGGGGUUAAAGGGAGCGUAGGUGGAUAGUUAAGUCAGGUGUUAAAGUUUGCGGCUCAACCGGAAAAUUGCAGUUGAAACUGGAAGUCUUGAGUGCAGUAGAGGUAGGCGGAAUUCGUGGUGUAGCGGUGAAAUGCUUAGAUAUCACGAGGAACCCCGAUUGCGAAGGCAGCUCGCUGGACUGCAACUGACGCUGAGGCUCGAAGGUGUGGGUAUCAAACAGGAUUAGAUACCCUGGUAGUC